rnacentral:rRNA from 1 species
CCUACGGGAGGCGGCAGUGGGGAAUAUUGGACAAUGGGGGCAACCCUGAUCCAGCCAUGCCGCGUGUGUGAAGAAGGCCCUCGGGUUGUAAAGCACUUUCAGUGAGGAAGAACGCCUGGUGGUUAAUACCCAUCAGGAAAGACAUCACUCACAGAAGAAGCACCGGCUAACUCCGUGCCAGCAGCCGCGGUAAUACGGAGGGUGCGAGCGUUAAUCGGAAUUACUGGGCGUAAAGCGCGCGUAGGUGGCUUGAUAAGCCGGUUGUGAAAGCCCCGGGCUCAACCUGGGAACGGCAUCCGGAACUGUCAAGCUAGAGUGCAGGAGAGGAAGGUAGAAUUCCCGGUGUAGCGGUGAAAUGCGUAGAGAUCGGGAGGAAUACCAGUGGCGAAGGCGGCCUUCUGGACUGACACUGACACUGAGGUGCGAAAGCGUGGGUAGCAAACAGGAUUAGAUACCCCAGUAGUC